GUUCUGGACCACUUUAGUCGCUGUAAAAUCUGGUGAUUGAUGGUUCCGUUAGUUUCUUUGACCAACGAGAGCCUUGAAAUUGUGAGCACAGAGGGAUGGCUUAGUUCGGUUGCAAGCCUAAGCAGAAUGUAGUCCGCCCAUUAUCAGCUCUGCGUAAGCUAAAUCUUCGUCCACUGAGAAAUUAUUUGCACAUUUAGGCAGGAGUGCUGUCCGAUCGUCAGGGUUCUGGUAGAGAGUCGGAUGUUUCGCCUUGCUGCGUGUGAAUAAGAUCCUCACUCACGAAUUACAUUAGGCUACUAGGUGUGAGCUCCCAGACGAUACGUUUAUGCCAUUUCAUCGUACGAAUCAAUCUCCAUCCCGGUCCCCACAGUUCCCACAACAUAAUUUCAUGUCCAAGGAUCAUAUAUCACGCAACGACUUGAUUAACGUAUGGAGACCUUAGCCCCCAAAACUCUAGACGAAAUCGUACUUGCGAAGAUCGAAGGAGCAGUCAUGAAUUCUGUAUUAGGGAUGCACUACGAGGCAAAAUUGUAGAGCCAUGGAAACACUUCUGCGUGGACGAACUUUUUGCAGCCCAUGUUGCUAUUGGGAUUUGCCGACAACAAGACUGCAACAGUAUUGGAAUUGAUAAAAGGCAUGGGUGGGAAUUUCAUGCAAUCAGUCAUUGAUAUUUUCUAGGUUCACUAGCAUCCACAUGACAUCCAACUUGGUCGAUCAUCUAGUUGAAUAUUAAGCAUCUGCUCUAAACUGAAGGUUUUAAAGGGGUAAAUGUUUCGCACAGCUAAGUCUCUCUUGUUUAAUCCUUUCUACUGUGUUCAUUACACCCAUCUCUUAGGAUCCAUACUCAGUGAUUUUGAGUUUUGGUAUGAGUUUCCCUUCGCCUUGAGAUUUCUACUGAUCGCUGACCUAAUACAUCGUUCGUUCGUGCAAAAAGAUGAUGUGUAAAUGGUAUGCCUAUGUCCGAUGGCGGUGGUAUAGUUUUGUAGACGGCGAGCCGUGUUCCACCGAUUGACUACUUGUCAAGAUUAGGCAAUGAAGAAUUUACUUUCUUCCUUUUUGUUUUCCCUAUAGCUGGCACAGCCUUUGCCACUCAUCUGCUGCUUCAUUUGUGGUCGCGGUGACAUAGUUAAAUUUUCGAACCCGAUCGAGGUCUUUGCAGUGAUGCAAUGAAGAGGUGACAUAAAAUAGACAAGCCUCUGGAAGCACGCAAACUGUGACCAGUUCGUAACUUGAAGUUGAUUGAGAUGCAUGCGGGAUGUCCCUCGCAUCCUGAUCGAAGCCAGUACAGUAUCACGACUGCUUGACGACUGGAGUGUCCGAAAACCUCCCCUCUCACACCGAGGUACACUACGAACUGGCCGAAGAAUACGUGACUGAAGUUGCCAUUGGGAAUCAAUAUUUUACGAAUUGAGCUUCCCGUUUCUCUUGGAAUCUCCAGCAUACUGUUCUUCGCGGAUGCGCUUACGCAACAUCGAGGCCGAUUUCGAAUAUGCCUAAGAACUUCUACAGUGAUCAAAACACAUCAUGCUCUUCAUGAGAGCUUCAUCAGUCCAUGAUCCCUUUGUGGAUUAAAUAGACGUCAAGUGUUGUACAAACGUACCAACAUCAAUACUCAAAGGCCUAAGUGAAAUGCAUUGAUGAAUCAGUACUCCAAAUUGAUGGCACAGAGGUAUCGAUUGAUGAUUCAGUACCGUUGCCUUCUGCAUUCUCCUUCUCUGAAAAAAGAUAAAACGAAGCACAACUUGAAAUACAUAGUUUCCAACAAAUAUUUUUGCAUAGUUUUAUGAUUU